rnacentral:rRNA from 1 species
GCUUACGGCCAUACCACCCUGAAAACGCCCGAUCUCGUCCGAUCUCGGAAGCUAAGCAGGGUCGGGCCUGGUUAGUACUUGGAUGGGAGACCGCCUGGGAAUACCAGGUGCUGUAAGCU